UAACUUCUAAAUGCGGGAUAACGACAAAGUGUCUACCCUGUCACUAAAUUUGCUAGAAAUAAUUACAAAAUAAGGUUUUGAUAUAGAUUAGCUUUGAAAACCUCAAAGUAGUUUCCAAACAUACAGGAAAAAACUAAUUUUCUUUUAGAUUUUUAAGAAGACAAAAGAAAAAAAACCUUACCCCACCCCCCAAGCCUAAAAUUCAGAACAAAAUAUCAACAAAGCAGCAACGACUAUCUCAUUAAACGAGUGUUUUUGGUUAAUACUACUACUUGUUUAGUUGUAUAUUGUGUAUUGGAUUACGUAUUCAGUUCUACCAAGGCAUAAAAUUAACAGAAAAGAGUUUGUUGUUUGUUACGAAAAUUGAGUUUCUUUGUUCGGUGGGGAAGUUUCUUUAAAUAAAAGGUGUCCUUGGCAGCGAAGAGGUAAGGGAUCAUUAUUCUAUGUGAUCACUAGAAAUAACAGCCGUAUCUUCCUCAACUUUCAUCCUAACGUCUUAAAAAUGGUGAGCGUGCAUUAGAUAAUGCAGUUCAAAAUACACGUAAACAUCGCUGGAUGUUCGUCGCUGGAAUGCCUUUGACCUGUUCGAUCUGGGUUGAAAAUAAAAAGGAAGGUUACAUUGGCGAAUGUAGCCUGGAAUAGACAAUGAUUGAAAAAAAAAUGCCGGAUGGUCGUUACUGGAACGCCUGUGAUAAUUGAAUAGUUCGGGCAAGAUAGACUUGAAGAUAGGUAAUAACAACAGAAUGGAAUUGUAUUGACUACAUGACUCCAUUGUAACAAUGGUUCUUGCAUGCAUAUUUAAAAAGUCAAAAGAAUUAUUACAUUAUAAUUUAUUGAGCUAAUUUAUUUUCUCUUUGUCUUUUUUAUCAUUAUUUUAUUCAUCUCGGGUGACCACAACAGCCAACAAACCUAAAAGGCUGGACUCUUGAGCGCAAACUGGAUCAAAGCGGCAAAAUAUACAGCCAUAAAUUUACGGACGACGUCCUUUUCACGGGCAAGAUCCCAAUUAGGGUAUGGGGCUCGAAUUACGGCUCAAGUGCUUCCAAGAACGACAUUGUUAGCCACGUUAACGACUGGGGAAGUGCUACCGCUGUUUCCAAGACUGUUCUCAGAGACGAAAACAAUGUGG